rnacentral:rRNA from 1 species
AGCAGCCGCGGUAAUUCCAGCUCCAAUAGCGUAUAUUAAAGUUGUUGCAGUUAAAAAGCUCGUAGUUGAAUUUCGGGAUCAAGGAAUCGGUCAUGCCUUGGUAUGUACUGGUUUUAUUGGUUCUCACCUUCUAAAGAACCAUAAUGUCAUUCAUUUGAUGUUAUGGGGAAUUAGGACUGUUACCUUGAAAAAAUUAGAGUGUUUAAAGCAGGCUUACGCUUGAAUACAUUAGCAUGGAAUAAUGAAAUAGGACAUCAGAUUCUAUUUUGUUGGUUUCUAGGAUCGAUGUAAUGAUUAAUAGGGAUAGUUGGGGGCAUUAGUAUUCAAUUGUCAGAGGUGAAAUUCUUGGAUUUAUUGAAGACUAACUACUGCGAAAGCAUUUGCCAAGGAUGUUUUCAUUAAUCAAGAACGAAAGUUAGGGGAUCGAAGACGAUCAGAUACCGUCGUAGUCUUAACCAUAAACUAUGCCGACUACGGGAUACGGAUGAUGUUUAAUUUUUAAUUAGACUCUAUUCGGUCC